UGACGGGGUGCAGCAGGCGCGAAACCUUCGCAAUGUGCGAAAGCAUGACGAGGUUACUCCGAGUGUCAUCCGCUGAGGGUGACUUUUACUAGGCAUAAAUUACCUAGAGAAUAAGGGGAGGGCAAGUCUGGUGUCAGCCGCCGCGGUAAUACCAGCUCCCCGAGUGGUUGGGACGUUUAUUGGGCCUAAAGCAUCCGUAGCCGGUCUUGUAGGUCUUCUGUUAAAUUCAAUAGCUCAACUAUUGAGCCGCAGGAGAUACCGCAGGACUAGGAGGCGGGGGAGGUGGACGGUACUCAAUGGGUAGGGGUAAAAUCCUUUGAUCCAUUGAAGACCACCAGUGGCGAAGGCGGUCCACCACAACGCGCUCGACGGUGAGGGAUGAAAGCUGGGGGAGCGAACCGGAUUAGAUACCCGGGUAGUCCCAGCUGUAAACGAUGUGAGCUAGGUGAUGGGGUGGCUAUGGGCCAUCCCAGUGCCCCCAGGGAAGGCCGUUAAGCUCACCCCCCUGGGAAGUACGGCCGCAAGGCUGAAACUUAAAGGAAUUGGGCGGGGGAGCACCACAAGGGGUGAAGCCUGCGGUUUCAAUUGGAGUCAACGCCGGGAACCUUUCCGGGGGAGACAGCAGGAUGAAAGUCAAGCUGAAGACUUUACUAGACAAGCUGAGAGGAGGUGCAUGGCCGUCGCCAGCUCGUGCCGUGAGGCGUCCUGUUAAGUCAGGUAACGAGCGAGACCCCUAUUGUUAAUUGCUAUUUUUACUCGUGAGAGUAGAAAAGCUAGUUAAUGAGACUGCUGCCGCUAAGGCGGAGGAAGGAGGGGGCCACGGCAGGUCAGUAUGCCCCGAAACCCUCGGGCCACACGCGGGCUGCAAUGGUAGGGACAAUGAGCUCCGACUUCGAAAGAGGAAGGCAAUCUCCAAACCCUACCCCAGUUGUGAUUGAGGGCUGAAACUCGCCCUCAUGAAUAUGGAAUCCCUAGUAACCGCGUGUCACCACCGCGCGGUGAAUACGUCCCUGCUCCUUGCACGAAUUCGCCGA
rnacentral:rRNA from 1 species